rnacentral:rRNA from 1 species
GACGAACGCUGGCGGCGUGCCUAAUACAUGCAAGUUGAGCGCUGAAGGUUGGUACUUGUACCAACUGGAUGAGCAGCGAACGGGUGAGUAACGCGUGGGGAAUCUGCCUUUGAGCGGGGGACAACAUUUGGAAACGAAUGCUAAUACCGCAUAAAAACUUUAAACACAAGUUUUAAGUUUGAAAGAUGCAAUUGCAUCACUCAAAGAUGAUCCCGCGUUGUAUUAGCUAGUUGGUGAGGUAAAGGCUCACCAAGGCGAUGAUACAUAGCCGACCUGAGAGGGUGAUCGACCACAUUGGGGCUGAGACACGGCCCAAACCCCUACGGGAGGCAGCAGGAGGGAAUCUUCGGCAAUGGACGAAAGUCUGACCGAGCAACGCCGCGUGAGUGAAGAAGGUUUUCGGAUCGUAAAACUCUGUUGGUAGAGAAGACCGUUGGUGAGAGUGGAAAGCUCAUCAAGUGACGGUAACUACCCAGAAAGGGACGGCUAACUACGUG